rnacentral:rRNA from 1 species
AUGACGGAGCUGCCCGAGGGCCACCCGUCGCGGCGCGUGGUCGAGCUCAUCUUCGCGUCGGGCUGGGCGCGCACCGACGGAGCCGCGGAGGUGGAGGUGCUCUUCCGGGUGCACAGCACGGCGCGCGCGGUGGCGCGCUUCGAGUGCGCUCGCGCCGCCGCCCGGGCGCGCGGCGAGGCCGCGGGCGACGCGCGGUGCGCCGCCGACGGCAACGAGAUGAUGCGGUUCCAGUGCCGCCCCGCCGCGGAGGCCGGGGGCGGCAGCGAGGUGAUCUGCGCGACCGUCGCUACGUGCCACCAGGCCGGCGCGGCCAGGGCCGUGCGCACGUUCGCCGGCAGCGGCGCGGCGGACGCGGGCGCCGGGGGCGGAAGCCACGAGGGCCGCAGGGGCAUGCUGGUGUGCCGCGUCAUCGCCGGCCGCGUCCGUCGCGGCUCCACCGACGAGCACCCCGGCGAGUACGACUCGGCGGACCCGGGGGACGGCGAGCUGGUGGUGCUGGACCGGCGCGCCGUGCUCCCGUGCUUCCUCGUGGUGUACAGGGUCAAGCCUCCUCCGGAGCUGCACAGCUCCUCCAGCUGA